rnacentral:tRNA from 1 species
UGGUGCGGUCGAGAAGACUCGAACUUCCACGAGUUGCCCCACAGCGACCUCAACGCUGCGCGUCUACCAAUUCCGCCACGACCGC